UGCCGGGAUGAAAGCCUUUGGGCGCCGGAGGAGCGGCUCGCGUCCUAUCAGGUAGUUGGUGGGGUAAAAGCCUACCAAGCCUAUGACGGGUAGCUGGUCUUACAGGACGAUCAGCCAGAGGGGGACUGAGACACGGCCCCCACUCCUACGGGAGGCAGCAGCAGGGAAUUUUGGGCAAUGGGCGAAAGCCUGACCCAGCGACGUCGCGUGGGGGAUGAAGGCCCUCGGGCUGUAAACCCCUUUUCCCGGGGAAGAGAAAGGACGGUACCUCGGGAAUAAGCCCCGGCUAACUACGUGCCAGCAGCCGCGGUAAUACGUAGGGGGCAAGCGUUACCCGGAAUCACUGGGCGUAAAGUGCGCGUAGGCGGUUGGAUAAGUCUCUUGUGAAAGCUCCCGGCUCAACUGGGAGAGGUCAAGGGAUACUAUUCGACUUGAGGACAGCAGAGGUAAGCAGAAUUCCCGGUGUAGCGGUGGAAUGCGUAGAUAUCGGGAGGAACACCAGUGGCGAAAGCGGCUUACUGGGCUGUAUCUGACGCUGAGGCGCGAGAGCGUGGGGAGCAAACUGGAUUAGAUACCCUGGUAGUC
rnacentral:rRNA from 1 species